CCUACGGGAGGCAGCAGUGGGGAAUAUUGCGCAAUGGGGAAACCCUGACGCAGCAACGCCGCGUGAGUGAGGAAGGACUUCGGUCUGUAAAGCUCUGUUAAUGUGGAAAAAUGGUAGUUGGUCUAAUAGGCCGAUUAUUUGAUGGUACACAUAGAGGAAGCACCGGCUAACUUCGUGCCAGCAGCCGCGGUAAUACGAAGGGUGCAAGCGUUGUUCGGAUUUAUUGGGCGUAAAGCGCGCGUAGGCGGACCUGUAAGUCAGAUGUGAAAUCUCGGGGCUCAACCUCGAAACUGCGUCUGAAACUGCAGGUCUAGAAUCUCGGAGGGGGAAGGGGAAUUUCGCAUGUAGGGGUAAAAUCCGUAGAUAUGCGAAGGAACACCAGAGGCGAAGGCGCCUUCCUGGACGAGUAUUGACGCUGAGGCGCGAAAGCGUGGGGAUCAAACAGGAUUAGAUACCCUGGUAGUCCACGCUGUAAACUAUGAACACUAGGUAUUGGAGGAUUUGACCCCUUCAGUGCCGUAGCUAACGCGUUAAGUGUUCCGCCUGGGAAGUACGGUCGCAAGACUAAAACUCAAAUGAAUUGACGG
rnacentral:rRNA from 1 species